CUCUUUCUCCUCAUUCUUAUUUCUCUUUCUUCAUUCUUAUUUCUUCUUCUUCUGCUCAUCUUCCCCUGUUCUUCUUCUCUGAAGAUUGAGUUAUGAAUCGAGUACGUUAAUCCUUAAGAUAUUAGUAAAAGUAGUGAAGCUAGGAAGGUGUUGAUUCAAGAGGUUCUCUGAAUUAAGGAAGUAUGGAAAAGGAUGAUUCAGAUAAGCGAAAUUAGGGAUUUGAGUUUGAUCUUUGAAUUUGUGUAGAAUUAAUAGGUUAACUGAGUUGUUGAUAGAUGAAGAUUAAUAGGGUUGUUGUUUAAUCAACGAUUUGGUGUUGUGUUGAUGAAGAUCGAGAAAGUUAGGGUUUCUCAGAGAAUGAUUAAGAAGAAUUAAGGAGUGGGUUUAGGUUAUUGAGGAAUGGGGUGAAGUUAUUUGGAUGAUAUAGAGUUGUUCAUGAAGAAUUAUGAAGAUUAGACUUUUGUUCUUCCCCAAAUUAGAAAUUAGGGUUUCUGAGAAUUAAAGAAGGUGAAAAAGAUUGUUGGGUUUGUGGUUAAUUUGGUAUUUCUGUGGAGGAGGUUAGUGGAGCAACAAUUCAGAAGAUGUUGAUACUUGGGUAAGUUUUGAAUUGACAUUUUGUAUUGAUAUUUUUAUAUGGUUGAGAUUAUGUGUUUGAGAAUGGAUGAAGAUAUUAGGAAAGGGUCUGAGUUGUAGAUUGGAGGUAGUAGUUUUUCAGUCACAGGACAUGGAACGAUAUAUGAUGCAGUAUGUAAGUCAAGAGUAAAUGUUGAAUGAAUGGAUAUUAUAAGUAGCAGAGGUAAUUGUUCUUCUUAGUUCAGUUGGUAAUACUUGUAUGUUUUUAAAUUUGAGUUCAUGGAUUAUGAGGUGUUGAGUUACAGAGAUUUUGCACAGAAUUGUAGUGAACUGAACAAGAAGUUGGUGUUAGUGAAAUGAUCUGUUGGAUGCUUCUGUGAUAAACAAGGUGGCUGAGUUAUAAUAAUGAUUGUGGUUAUUUGUGUCUGAAAUUUGGUGGAAAUGGAAUUGAGUAUCUGGUGGUGCUGUAAUGAGUUGAAGUUAAAGCUAAUUGAACUGAAUUGAUGAGUAUAGAUGUUUGUUAGGACAAAUUGUUAUUGCAGAUUAGAAUUGAGUUAAUGGUAGUGGUUAAGUUGGUUUGUGGUGGUUUACUGUGGUGUUGAUGUUGGUGUUAUGUUUGCAAGGUAGUUAUAGAGUGAAAGAGAAAUAAAAGUAAAUGAAUAUGGAGUUUUAGAUGGAUGUAGUGGAGGAUGUGUAUGAUUGUCUUACAGUUAGUGGUGAAGGUAUAUGUACUAGACAUAUAAGAGAAUAUGGCGGGGGUUGUUUUAUUGCAGCUGGUGAUGGUGGCUAUAGAUGAAUGCUUAGGGCUUUGCAGAAUUUGUUUAGCUCAGAUGGUUGCAGUAAAUGAGCCUGGUGGUAGUGUAGAUAAAGAACUGGAAAGGGCAGGCAGAGGCAGUGUAGCUUCGGUUGUUAUUUCAGAACUGGUGUUGGAGGUGGAAGUAUUAGUGGAGUUAUUGUAAAUUGUGGUGGUGAUUAUGAAUAUAAGAACUUGUUGCAGGAAUGAAUGAAUCUUUAGUAAAUACACUUUUGAUGUUUGUAUGUGAGUGUUUAUUGGGAAGAAUCAGAGGAUGAAAGAUGCUGUAAUGUUGGUGGUAAUGUACAUGAGGUGUAUGAGAUGUAUAGGUUAGUUCUGGCAGUGAGGUUUGAUGGAAGUGAUAGUGUUGAACUGAGUUCAGUUGAAGUAGUCUUUAGUUUGGCCGCAACUAAUGGAUUAUUUGUAGAAUGGGUGUUGCUUGUACUGCAAUUGCAGGGAUGAACCAGUGGAUUGUGGAUCUCGAGGUAGGCGUGGCUUGUCAUCAAAAGAGUUUUCAGAGACAGAUCAGAGUUGCGCAGCGAAAGCCCCAAGUGUUGACUCUGUUAAUUAAUUAACUUCCGCUAUGUUGAUUAUGUUAUUUAUUGUAUCUGUAAACCAAUUGACUAUUAUAUAUGUUCAUUUGAGAGAAGUUCAUGUAUAUACAUUCUGAGCGGGGUUAGUUUCGGGAUAAAUUUUGUAGCAGAUUUCUUAAUU